GGAGCGAAGAGGACGGCUUUCUGGUAUGGCGCGGCCUUUGUCUCUUGCUGCCGCUGGAGCUCCAGAUCUCUUGUUCACUGCUCUGUGUUCUCUGCUCAUAGAGGCCCAGCCUCUGAGGCCCUUUGACCUGCAGGUAUUGGGAGAUCCACAGCCAAGAGCCAGGACCCCCUAGAAGUCUAGAAAUGCAAGCCGAGGUACUUCUAUAGAAGGGUGCACCCUUACAGAUGGAGCAAUGAUGGAAUUAAAUUCACCUGUCUCGGCCUUCCAAAAUGCUGGGAUAACAGGCAUGAGCCACCGCACCCAGCCCAGUUAUUUCAACAAGUGCAUGCUCAAGAGUGUGUUGUAUCAUUUCUAUAUAGCUGUAAAUUUAUCAAUUAUUUAUAUUAUUGUUUUAUACUCUAAUUCCAUUUUUUGUCGUAGAAGGUAAUCUAUGAAAUUUCGGUUUUAAAAAAUGUGUUAAGUCUUUGUUUUUGGCCUAUCAGGUGGUUUAUAAAGAAGAAUGUUGAAUGAGCUAUUGAGAAGGCUGUGUAUCCCGAUGUUGUUGAGGAGUGUUCUCUAUACCUUCAUUAGAAAUUAUUGUUUUUGACUGCCUUUUAGUCCUCUGUUCCCUUACUAAUAUCAUCUUGUUUUAUUAUUAUUACAGAAAGUGGGGUAUUGAAAUAUCCUACUAUAAUUAUAUUGCUCUCUCUGUGUUUAUUCAGUUUUGUUAGUAUUUACUUUAUAUAUCUGAAAGCCUAAUUUGAGACACACACACAAAUACAUGCAUGUAUAAACAAAUUUGUCAUACAUUCACAGGGAAUGAAUCUAUGUAUUGUUAAAUGUCCUUUUUUGUCUGUUUGAAGUUUUGACUUAAAGUACAUUUUAUAAAAUAUGACAGUUUUUUACUUAAGAUGUAGCUUGUGUAAUAUUAUUUUGAGCUCUUCUGCUCUAAUUUGGUUAAUAUUUACAUUAAAUUUCUACUUCCAUCUCACCACUUUCAGUCUUUUUUUGUCAUUAGAUCUCAACUGACUCUUGUAGAAAGUCAAGUUGAAUCUUGAUUUCACAGAAUUUUUAAUAAACCUUUUUAUUGAAAGUA
ensembl:lncRNA novel transcript